GACGUAGGGCGCGAGCGUUGUCCGGAUUUAUUGGGCGUAAAGAGCUCGUAGGCGGCUUGUCGCGUCGGCUGUGAAAACCCGUGGCUCAACCAUGUGGUCUGCAGUCGAUACGGGCAGGCUAGAAUUCGGUAGGGGAGACUGGAAUUCCUGGUGUAGCGGUGAAGUGCGCAGAUAUCAGGAGGAACACCGGUGGCGAAGGCGGGUCUCUGGGCCGAUAUUGACGCUGAGGAGCGAAAGCGUGGGGAGCGAACAGG
rnacentral:rRNA from 1 species